CUGGAGGUAUCAGAAGUGCGAAUGCUGACAUAAGUAACGAUAAAGCGGGUGAAAAGCCCGCUCGCCGGAAGACCAAGGGUUCCUGUCCAACGUUAAUCGGGGCAGGGUGAGUCGACCCCUAAGGCGAGGCCGAAAGGCGUAGUCGAUGGGAAACAGGUUAAUAUUCCUGUACUUGGUGUUACUGCGAAGGGGGGACGGAGAAGGCUAUGUUGGCCGGGCGACGGUUGUCCCGGUUUAAGCGUGUAGGCUGGUUUUCCAGGCAAAUCCGGAAAAUCAAGGCUGAGGCGUGAUGACGAGGCACUGCGGUGCUGAAGCAACAAAUGCCCUGCUUCCAGGAAAAGCCUCUAAGCAUCAGGUAACAUCAAAUCGUACCCCAAACCGACACAGGUGGUCAGGUAGAGAAUACCAAGGCGCUUGAGAGAACUCGGGUGAAGGAACUAGGCAAAAUGGUGCCGUAACUUCGGGAGAAGGCACGCUGAUAUGUAGGUGAAGUCCCUCGCGGAUGGAGCUGAAAUCAGUCGAAGAUACCAGCUGGCUGCAACUGUUUAUUAAAAACACAGCACUGUGCAAACACGAAAGUGGACGUAUACGGUGUGACGCCUGCCCGGUGCCGGAAGGUUAAUUGAUGGGGUUAGCGCAAGCGAAGCUCUUGAUCGAAGCCCCGGUAAACGGCGGCCGUAACUAUAACGGUCCUAAGGUAGCGAAAUUCCUUGUCGGGUAAGUUCCGACCUGCACGAAUGGCGUAAUGAUGGCCAGGCUGUCUCCACCCGAGACUCAGUGAAAUUGAACUCGCUGUGAAGAUGCAGUGUACCCGCGGCAAGACGGAAAGACCCCGUGAACCUUUACUAUAGCUUGACACUGAACAUUGAGCCUUGAUGUGUAGGAUAGGUGGGAGGCUUUGAAGUGUGGACGCCAGUCUGCAUGGAGCCGACCUUGAAAUACCACCCUUUAAUGUUUGAUGUUCUAACGUUGACCCGUAAUCCGGGUUGCGGACAGUGUCUGGUGGGUAGUUUGACUGGGGCGGUCUCCUCCUAAAGAGUAACGGAGGAGCACGAAGGUUGGCUAAUCCUGGUCGGACAUCAGGAGGUUAGUGCAAUGGCAUAAGCCAGCUUGACUGCGAGCGUGACGGCGCGAGCAGGUGCGAAAGCAGGUCAUAGUGAUCCGGUGGUUCUGAAUGGAAGGGCCAUCGCUCAACGGAUAAAAGGUACUCCGGGGAUAACAGGCUGAUACCGCCCAAGAGUUCAUAUCGACGGCGGUGUUUGGCACCUCGAUGUCGGCUCAUCACAUCCUGGGGCUGAAGUAGGUCCCAAGGGUAUGGCUGUUCGCCAUUUAAAGUGGUACGCGAGCUGGGUUUAGAACGUCGUGAGACAGUUCGGUCCCUAUCUGCCGUGGGCGCUGGAGAACUGAGGGGGGCUGCUCCUAGUACGAGAGGACCGGAGUGGACGCAUCACUGGUGUUCGGGUUGUCAUGCCAAUGGCACUGCCCGGUAGCUAAAUGCGGAAGAGAUAAGUGCUGAAAGCAUCUAAGCACGAAACUUGCCCCGAGAUGAGUUCUCCCUGACUCCUUGAGAGUCCUGAAGGAACGUUGAAGACGACGACGUUGAUAGGCCGGGUGUGUAAGCGCAG
rnacentral:rRNA from 1 species